rnacentral:lncRNA from 1 species
CAAAAAUACGAAACACACUGUAAACAAACGAACAGACACAGACAAUUUAAAUGUUACAUACGCUGCUCUUCUACACACAGUCAAAAACAUACAAAACAGAGAACGCAGAGAGAAAAAUAGAGCAAAUUGUAUAUCAACACUGUAGCCCAAAAAAAAAACACACACAAACUCACACCAAGAUAGCAGUAAACGUAACACUAAUAGGACAAACUGAACAGUAACCGUCAUUUUGAAAAAUUGCGCCAGUGCGUAGAACGGUACACCGAAUUCCGAUUCUUUAAAGAUAAAAUUGUUUCCGGGUAGUAAUAGAACCGUGAACACCCAAUAACAUCAAUGACGAUUAAUUGUUCAAACAAACAUAUAGACGAAAAACAACAUAAAACUUCGAGUCCUUGAUAAAGGUCCAAUAAGGACCGAAACGUUGGAGAAAGAAACCAUACAGUUGUUUUAAAUUGUUAAAAAAGACUGAAAAGCCAGAAAAUUUUUCCAAAAUCAACCUUA